UACGAAGGGGGCUAGCGUUGCUCGGAAUGACUGGGCGUAAAGGGCGCGUAGGCGGCUUGUAUAGUCGGAUGUGAAAUUCCUGGGCUUAACCUGGGGGGCUGCAUACGAGACGUAUGGGCUUGAGUGCGGAAGAGGGUCGUGGAAUUCCCAGUGUAGCGGUGAAAUGCGCAGAUAUCAGGAGGAACACCAAUGGCGAAGGCAGCUCGCUGGGACGGUACUGACGCUGAGGCGCGAAAGCGUGGGGGAGCAAACAGG
rnacentral:rRNA from 1 species